UUUUAUCAAGGAAGAAGAUCUGACGGUACUUGAUGAAUAAGCCACGGCUAAUUCCGUGCCAGCAGCCGCGGUAAUACGGGAGUGGCAAGCGUUAUCCGGAAUUAUUGGGCGUAAAGCGUCCGCAGGCGGUCUUUUAAGUCUGUCGUCAAAGCGUGGAGCUUAACUCCAUUACUGCGAUGGAAACUGGAAGACUAGAGUGUGGUAGGGGCAGAGGGAAUUCCCGGUGUAGCGGUGAAAUGCGUAGAUAUCGGGAAGAACACCAGUGGCGAAGGCGCUCUGCUGGGCCAUAACUGACGCUCAUGGACGAAAGCCAGGGGAGCGAAAGGGAUUAGAUACCCCUGUAGUCCUGGCCGUAAACGAUGAACACUAGGUGUCGGGGGAAUCGACCCCCUCGGUGUCGUAGCCAACGCGUUAAGUGUUCCGCCUGGGGAGUACGCACGCAAGUGUGAAACUCAAAGGAAUUGACGGGGGCCCGCACAAGCGGUGGAGUAUGUGGUUUAAUUCGAUGCAACGCGAAGAACCUUACCAGGGUUUGACAUCCUGCGAAUCUCUUGGAAACGAGAGAGUGCCUUCGGGAACGCAGUGACAGGUGGUGCAUGGCUGUCGUCAGCUCGUGUCGUGAGAUGUUGGGUUAAGUCCCGCAACGAGCGCAACCCACGUCGUUAGUUGCCAGCAUUUAGUUGGGCACUCUAGCGAGACCGCCGGUGAUAAACCGGAGGAAGGUGUGGAUGACGUCAAGUCAUCAUGCCCCUUACAUCCUGGGCUACACACGUACUACAAUGCUACGGACAAAGGGCAGCAAGCUCGCGAGAGUUAGCAAAUCCCAUAAACCGUGGCUCAGUUCAGAUCGUAGGCUGCAACUCGCCUACGUGAAGGAGGAAUCGCUAGUAAUCGCAGGUCAGCAUACUGCGGUGAAUACGUUCCCGGGCCUUGUACACACCGCCCGUCACACCAUGG
rnacentral:rRNA from 1 species